rnacentral:rRNA from 1 species
GUGAACAUACCUAAAACGUUGCUUCGGCGGGAACAGACGGCCCUGUAACAACGGGCCGCCCCCGCCAGAGGACCCCUAACUCUGUUUUUAUAAUGUUUUUCUGAGUAAACAAGCAAAUAAAUUAAAACUUUCAACAACGGAUCUCUUGGCUCUGGCAUCGAUGAAGAACGCAGCGAAAUGCGAUAAGUAAUGUGAAUUGCAGAAUUCAGUGAAUCAUCGAAUCUUUGAACGCACAUUGCGCCCGCCAGUAUUCUGGCGGGCAUGCCUGUUCGAGCGUCAUUACAACCCUCAGGCCCCCGGGCCUGGCGUUGGGGAUCGGCGGAAGCCCCCUGUGGGCACACGCCGUCCCUCAAAUACAGUGGCGGUCCCGCCGCAGCUUCCAUUGCGUAGUAGCUAACACCUCGCAACUGGAGAGCGGCGCGGCCAUGCCGUAAAACACCCAACUUCUGAAUGUUGACCUCGAAUCAGGUAGGAAUACCCGCUGAACUUAAGCAUAUCAAUAA